rnacentral:rRNA from 1 species
CGKGUAUAAGUCUCUGGAACAGAGCGUCAUASAGGGUGRGAAUMCCGUCUUUGACRCGGACUACCAGUGCUUUGUGAUGCGCUCUCAAAGAGUCGAGUUGUUUGGGAAUGCAGCUCAAAAUGGGUGGUGAAUUCCAUCUAAAGCUAAAUAUUGGCGAGAGACCGAUAGCGAACAAGUACCGUGAGGGAAAGAUGAAAAGCACUUUGGAAAGAGAGUUAAACAGUACGUGAAAUUGCUGAAAGGGAAACGCUUGAAGUCAGUCGCGUUGUCCGGAACUCAGCCUUGCUUUUGCUUGGUGCACUUUCCGGAUGACGGGUCAGCAUCGAUUUUGACCGUCGGAAAAGGGCUGGAGUAAUGUGGCACCUUCGGGUGUGUUAUAGACUCUGGUCGCAUACGGCGGUUGGGAUCGAGGAACGCAGCGCGCCGCAAGGCAGGGGUUCGCCCACUUUCGCGCUUAGGAUGCUGGCAUAAUGGCUUUAAACGACCCGUCUUGAAACACGGACCAAGGAGUCUAACAUACCUGCGAGUGUUUGGGUGGAAAACCCGAGCGCGCAAUGAAAGUGAAAGUUGAGAUCCCUGUCGUGGGGAGCAUCGACGCCCGGACCAGACGUUSUYUGACGGAUCCGCGGUAGAGCAUGUAUGUUGGGACCCGAAAGAUGGUGAACUAUGCCUSAAUAGGGUGAAGCCAGAGGAAACUCUGGUGGAGGCUCGUAGCGAUUCUGACGUGCAAAUCGAUCGUCAA